CAAUGGCACGCACAUGUAUGCAUAACAUGGAGAAUUGGGGCAGGUGGACAGAGAAUGGGUUCUUCAACAAAGCCCAAACCCACUGGGACGUUUGUCCUUGCUUCCAGAGCUCUCUAUCCCAAAAUAGCCACACCCCUCACUACUUUCACUCCCUUCCCUUCCAUUUUCACUCCCCUUCUGCUGUCUCAGUUCCCUGGGAGAAGGAGCCCACCUGGGAGGUGUCAGCUGAGAAAAGCUCACAGCUGAAGAUCUCGAGUCCACUGAGCAGCACUGGAUGGGAAGUUGCCUCAUUUUGCUGAGAAGUAAGUGAGGUUGGAAGAACUCUCCUGGAGCUCCUGUUAGCAGAAUGGAACUGGGGACUCUGUGCAGCCGAGCUCCAGCUGAUUGCGCGCAAGAGUUCAAGGCAGCGUGAUUGACUGCGCCUGCCCCCCGCCAUCUCUGUGAUCAAAUCACAUUUGCCUAGUUUAUGUUUCUCCCCUUUCUCUGCGUGAAAGUGUCAAGCAAACAAAGGAGAGACAAGUAAUGGAAGGGGGGGAAAAAAAAUAAAAAGCAAAGCCACGUGAGUACAAAGUGCUUCCAGAGACAUAAAAUAAGCAGUUGGAAAAAAUGGGGAACAAUAUUGCCUUUAAUCUCCAAGAUAACCAGGUGCAGUCAUCCUGGAUGUUACUACUAACAUCUGUGGCUUAAAAAAAAAAUAGAAAGUCAACCUGUAGCUGAGUCAUUAAGUUCAGAGUGUCACUGCAAGGAUGGCUUUAAAAACAAACAGGAAUACACAGCAUCUCUGAAAGUAAGAAGGAUUCGAGAGGAGCUUGUUAAAGUGAGAGAUGCUUAUUUUGUCACCAUUGUAGCGAGGGACAAAGUCAGUUCAGGGGUUGAUGGUUGAUUUCUGUUUUAUCUGCUCGCUUCAGUGAUGGUGUGAGCUUAAGGUACGUGUGAGGAGGCAAGAGGGCACAUUUGGUGGCCAACUACGCUAGGUUUUGAUCCAAGCAACUUCCUCAUGUUGUGAAGCAGGAGAAAAAUUAAGUCCAAGAGUGUGGCUACCAUUUCCAAGAUAUCUCAAUGCAACACCAUGAAAGCCACCUGAAGUGAACAAGAACAGCAGAAAGCAGAGUAAGGAUGGACCAAUAUUUCUGUUGCUGAGAGGAAUCCCCCAGCCCACGUGCUAGGGCAGCUUCAAGCAUUGACUCAUCUGCUGUGAGAGCAAAUCAUGCUCUGUCAGAGAGAGGUAUAAGAAAAAGUGCUGGAAAAGGGGAAAUAAUGCCAGGGCAGGAAGCUUGUGUGUCCUUCAUGGUAAACGGGAGCAGUGCCUGUGAAGACAGACCCUUCACUUCAACCACAGGGAAGAAGAGUGUUGACAAAGCACCCAUCUCACGCUGCUCUUCCAAUAAUAGCUUCUCUACAACAAAAGAGGCUGGAGAGGCUGUUCUCAACUAACUUUGCGAUGGCGAAACUUGUCCGGAGACCUUUUGUAUGCUAAGUUUCUUGAAUCCAAGCAAUUACAUGCACCUUCCAUAACCACUGUCAUUUCAAUCGACUGUACUCCUCGAGUGGAAAGGGUGGGUGUGAUGUACUGUUACAGAGGUUAAUAGGACACGCCAGAAGCCUCAAGAACUCUUCAGCAUUUCUAUCUGGGAUGUGCUAAGAUGGCAGUACUUGCAUGGUGAAUAUAUUUUUACUGUGCUUUUUUAUGAUGUUUUCAUUAUGUGCUUUUAUUAUGUGGUUAUAAGCUGCUAGAAUGAAAACAGGAGCAAUAAAGCUUGAUUGAUCAUUAUAUUCCCAUCUAUAAAUG